rnacentral:rRNA from 1 species
CGGCGGACGGGUGAGUAAUGCCUAGGAAUCUGCCUGGUAGUGGGGGACAACGUUUCGAAAGGAACGCUAAUACCGCAUACGUCCUACGGGAGAAAGCAGGGACCUUCGGGCCUUGCGCUAUCAGAUGAGCCUAGGUCGGAUUAGCUAGUUGGUGAGGUAAUGGCUCACCAAGGCGACUAUCCGUAACUGGUCUGAGAGGAUGAUCAGUCACACUGGAACUGAGACACGGUCCAGACUCCUACGGGAGGCAGCAGCC